AGUCUAACUAGCAUCCUUGCUCUCUAUUGCUGAGAUCAGGCAGGGAUUCGGAGAUUGCCUGAGACACUUUCUGGUGACUAAUGCAGUACUUGAACAGGAAACAGACUGGAAAGGGCUUAGGAGGAGCUAUAAAUAGCUCAUGUCCUAAAAAAAUCUAACUUAGGGAGAAAUGGAAUUAACACACUGGAAGGAGAACAAGGAGAUCACAGGCUUCAAGCAAGACCAAGACUCCUCUUGGGAAAUGAGCUUUUCUCCCAGAUGGAGCUCAAUCUGCCCUUGUAGGAGUUAACUCUAUUAAGUGUUGAUAGAGUUGCACUUCUUGAUCCUGAGGUUGACCAGCUAGCCCUGUCUGCCUGCCAGAUCCUACAGUUGUACCCGGCAUAUGAUAGGAGCUCAAUGAAUACAAGUUGAUGGAAAGAAGUGAGACAGGAAGCAGGCAGCUCACCCCUCUUUUGACAGAUAAGAAGGCUGAGAGAAGGAGAGGAGGAGUGAUGUUUUCAAGGAUAUUCUUAGCUGGAAGCUUACAGCAAAGAGCCCUGCAACCACUCUGCUAACAAAUUAAGAAGCAUGUUCCCCUUGGUUGCAAGCUGCAGCAGUCUGGUCUCUACCUUGUUUCUUCCUGUCCAGUGCAAGGAAGAUGUUUGAUUUCCUCCUGGCUCAAACAAAAGCCUGGAACUGCAUUCCACUGACUGAC
ensembl:lncRNA